UGGUGGAGUGAUUUGUCUGGUUAAUUCCGAUAACGAACGAGACCUUAACCUGCUAAAUAGACCAGCCGGCUUUGGCUGGCUGCUGUCUUCUUAGAGGGACUGUCAGCGUCUAGCUGACGGAAGUUUGAGGCAAUAACA
rnacentral:rRNA from 1 species